AAUGCAAACAAUGAUCCAAAGGCCUAAACAUUAGGCUACAACAAUGUCUGAAUGACUUUCCUCUAAUCUAGUAUAAUAUAACAUGGUUUAAGAAAAGAAAAGAAAUUCUUUUAUAAUUUUAUUUAUAUUUUUUUCCCAUUUUCUCCCCAAUUUACACAGCCAACCCACUCGUUAGGACUCCCCCUAUCACUAGUAAUGCCCCAACACACCAGGAGGAUGAAGACUAGCACACUCUUUCUCCGAUACAUGUGAAGUCAGCCACCGCUUCUUUUCGAGCUGCUGCUGAUGCAGCAUUGCCAAGCAGCCAGCACAUUUGGAGGAAAGCGCAGCGGCAGGUGAACCCGAGGAACCUGAGGAAAGUGGUGGGAAAUCUCGAGCCAGUGACAUGUUGAACUACACUGCCAGUUUGAGGGAAUGUCAUUGCCAUCCACUGCAAAGGAGGCAAAGGGCGCACGGGUACGAUGGUGUGUACAUGGUUGAUUGACAGCGUUUAGUUUGAGAGUGCGCAGGUGUGGGAAAGGGCAAUGGCAGUGAUCUGAAGGUGCGGAUCAUAGUGAAAAGAGAGCAGGUGUUCCAGUGUGUCUGUGCCACGCAGACGAACUGUAGGCUGUUCCCAGAUACUGAAAACAAUGCCGUGGUGAUCAGCUUUCAGGAAGGGCCAGUGGUUUGUGGUGAUGUUAAGGUCAUGUUUGAAUCCAGGGCUGGUCUUCCAAAGGGGUAUGAGGACUAUCCUUUCUAUUUCUGGUUCAACACUUCAUUUGUAGAGAACAACAGGCUCUAUCUGUCAAGGGAGGAACUGGACAACCCACGUAAGUCCAAAACCUGGGACAUCUACAAGGAGGACUUUGCUGUGACCGUGUCUUUCAGUGACCCUGCACUUAUGUAGCAGACGACACUUGCUUGUGUAUCUCAACUAAAACCCUUAAGCCCUGCACAAGGUCUAAAUCUUUGCUCUAAUGUAGGUUUUCACACACUUAUAAAAGGCGAGUGAUGUUUAGGGAUUGGAUUCGGGCAUAUUGUGCCCCUAAAGCUAUAGCUAUAGCUAUAUAACCUCAACUUUAUGUCCAUCCCCCAUCUUCACUGUAAGAGCUUUUUACUGAGCCGUGCAUACACCACAAUAUUAUGCAUUUGUUUGUCAAAUGUUUUUUUGUCUUUAAAUGAAGACAAAUGUUUGUGUCAGUUUAGCAUAUUAAGCCUCCAAAAUGUAAAUCUUACUCUUUAAGCUUGAGUGUACAUCAAAUAAAGCAAUCGAGGCUGCCACUGUGAAAUGGUCAAUGGUUAUGUGUGCAGAAACAUGUUUUUGUAGUACACAUAUAUUGAAAUAAAUACUAAUGUCUCUGUAACACUUGUCUGUCACUUUUUUGAAUUAACAACUGAUCUGGGUUGCUGAAUUUCUGCAAUUGUUUUAA